UAACACGUGGAUAAUCUGCCCUGCACAGGGGGACAACAGCUAGAAAUGGCUGCUAAUACCGCAUAAGCCUACAGCCUCGCAUGAGGGAGUAGGAAAAGAAAUUCGGUGCAGGAUGAGUCCGCGUCUGAUUAGCUAGUUGGAGGGGUAAAAGCCCACCAAGGCAACGAUCAGUAGCCGGCCUGAGAGGGCGACCGGCCACAUUGGGACUGAGACACGGCCCAAACUCCUACGGGAGGCAGCAG
rnacentral:rRNA from 1 species